GACGAACGCUGGCGGCGUGCUUUAUACAUGCAAGUCGAACGAGAAGCUGACUUCGGUCAGUGGAAAGUGGCGGACGGGUGAGUAAAAUGUAGAGAAUCUGCCUUAGGGUGGGGGACAACAGAGGGAAACUCCUGCUAAUACCCCAUAUGAGCUUGGUUGAAAUACCAAUCUUGAAAGUUCCGGCGCCCUAAGAUGAGCCUGCACCUGAUUAGCUAGUUGGUGGUGUAAUGGACUACCAAGGCGGUGAUCAGUAGCUGGUUUGAGAGGAUGAUCAGCCACAAUGGGACUGAGACACGGCCCAU
rnacentral:rRNA from 1 species